rnacentral:tRNA from 1 species
AAAAUAGAAUAAUUAAGUUCAUUUCGUUUACACUGAAAGGGUCAAUAUAUUUAGUUGUUUU